rnacentral:rRNA from 1 species
AAAAUGGCGGCGUGCUUAAUUUUUCCCAGUCGCGUGCGCAGAUUCGCGUAGCAAUACGUGGAUGGGCGCACGGACGCACGGGAGCGUAACACGUGGGCAACUUGCCCUCNGAUGGGGAAUAACCCCGCGAAAGCGGGGCUAAUACCGCAUAACAUUCCUUGGACGAUGGUUCGAGGAAUCUAAGCAUCAAUGCGUCGGAGGAGGGGCCCGCGGUCGAUUAGCUAGUUGGUGAGGUAAUGGCUCACCAAGGCAAUGAUCGGUAGCUGGUCUGAGAGGAUGAUCAGCCACACUGGAACUGAGACACGGUUCCACACUCCUACGGGAGGCAGCANUGGGUGAAUCUUGCACAAUGGGCGAAAGCCUGAUGCA